GAUGAACGCUGGCGGCGUGCUUAACACAUGCAAGUCGAACGUGAACCAGUAGCAAUACUAGUGGCAGACGGGUGAGUAACGCGUAGGUAAUGUGCCUUCUUACUGGGGAUACCGUUCCGAAAGGAGCGUUAAUACCGAAUGUGACGGAGACGGGGCAUCCCGAUUUCGUUAAACUGUCAGGGUGAGAAGAGCAGCCUGCGUUCUAUCAGCUUGUUGGUGGGGUAAUGGCCUACCAAGGCUACGACGGAUAGCCGGUCUGAGAGGAUGAUCGGCCACACUGGGACUGAGACACGGCCCAGACUCCUACGGGAGGCAGCAGUGAGGAAUAUUGCGCAAUGGGCGAAAGCCUGACGCAGCGACGCCGCGUGAGGGAUGAAGGCCUUCGGUUGUAAACCUCUGUCAGUGGGAAGAGAACGGACGGUACCCACUGAGGAAGCUUCGGCUAACUACGUGCCAGCAGCCGCG
rnacentral:rRNA from 1 species